UACGAAGGGUGCAAGCGUUACUCGGAAUUACUGGGCGUAAAGCGCGCGUAGGUGGUCGUUUAAGUCCGUUGUGAAAUCCCUGGGCUCAACCUGGGAACUGCAGUGGAUACUGGGCGACUAGAGUGUGGUAGAGGGUAGCGGAAUUCCUGGUGUAGCAGUGAAAUGCGUAGAGAUCAGGAGGAACAUCCAUGGCGAAGGCAGCUACCUGGACCAGCACUGACACUGAGGCACGAAAGCGUGGGGAGCAAACAGG
rnacentral:rRNA from 1 species